rnacentral:rRNA from 1 species
GGCCGCCGGGGGCUCUCAGCCCCGGGCCCGCGCCCGCCGGAGACACCACGAACUCUGUCUGAUCUAGUGAAGUCUGAGUUGAUUGUAUCGCAAUCAGUUAAAACUUUCAACAAUGGAUCUCUUGGUUCCGGCAUCGAUGAAGAACGCAGCGAAAUGCGAUAACUAGUGUGAAUUGCAGAAUUCCGUGAAUCAUCGAGUCUUUGAACGCACAUUGCGCCCCCUGGUAUUCCGGGGGGCAUGCCUGUCCGAGCGUCAUUGCUGCCCAUCAAGCACGGCUUGUGUGUUGGGUCGUCGUCCCCUCUCCGGGGGGGACGGGCCCCAAAGGCAGCGGCGGCACCGCGUCCGAUCCUCGAGCGUAUGGGGCUUUGUCACCCGCUCUGUAGGCCCGGCCGGCGCUUGCCGAACGCAAAUCAAUCUUUUUCCAGGUUGACCUCGGAUCAGGUAGGGAUACCCGCUGAACUUAAGCAUAUCAAUAAGCGGG